rnacentral:hammerhead_ribozyme from 1 species
AUCCUACACUGACGAGUCCCAAAUAGGACGAAACGCGCGUCAUACUGGAU